GAUAUGGAUUGUAGACUGCAUCU
rnacentral:siRNA from 1 species